UACGUAGGGGGCAAGCGUUGUCCGGAAUCAUUGGGCGUAAAGCGCGUGUAGGCGGCUUGGUAAGUCCGUUCUGAAAGCCCGGGGCUCAACCCCGGGAGGCGGAUGGAUACUGUCAAGCUUGAGUCCGGAAGAGGCGAGUGGAAUUCCCGGUGUAGCGGUGAAAUGCGCAGAUAUCGGGAGGAACACCAAUGGCGAAGGCAGCUCGCUGGGACGUGACUGACGCUGAGACGUGAAAGCGUGGGGAGCAAACAGG
rnacentral:rRNA from 1 species